UACGUAGGGGGCAAGCGUUGUCCGGAUUUAUUGGGCGUAAAGAGCGUGUAGGCGGCUUUACAGGUCCGUUGUGAAAACUCGAGGCUCAACCUCGAGACGCCGGUGGAAACCGUAAAGCUAGAGUCCGGAAGAGGCGAGUGGAAUUCCUGGUGUAGCGGUGGAAUGCGCAGAUAUCAGGAGGAACACCAAUAGCGAAGGCAGCUCGCUGGGACGUUACUGACACUGAGGCGCGAAAGCGUGGGGAGCGAACAGG
rnacentral:rRNA from 1 species